rnacentral:rRNA from 1 species
AGUGAACGCUGGCGGUAGGCCUAACACAUGCAAGUCGAACGGCAGCACAGUAAGAGCUUGCUCCUACGGGUGGCGAGUGGCGGACGGGUGAGGAAUACAUCGGAAUCUACUUUUUCGUGGGGGAUAACGUAGGGAAACUUACGCUAAUACCGCAUACGACCUACGAGUGAAAUAAGGGGAUCUUCGGACCUUGCGCGAUUGAAUUAGCCGAUGUCGGAUUAGCUAGUUGGCGGGGUAAAGGCCCACCAAGGCGACUAUCCGUAGCUGGACUGCGAGGAUGAUCAGCCACACUGGAACUGAGACACGGUCCAGACUCCUACGGGAGGCAGCAGUGGGGAAUAUUGGAACAUGGGCGCAAGCCUGAUCCAGCCAUACCGCGUGGGUGAAGAAGGCCUUCGGGUUGUAAAGCCCUUUUGUUGGGAAAGAAAAGCAGCAGGUUAAUACCCCGCUGUUCUGACGGUACCCAAAGAAUAAGCACCGGCUAACUUCGUG